UAAGAUGCUGAGAAGGAACGGAGUAAUUUUGCAAAUUCCUGUAUAGAGAACUAGCGGUUGGUGGAAGCUAGGUUAAAUUUGUAAAGUGAAUUACAUUCUGGAGCAAUUUCUUUAUGAUUAGAAUGAAGAAACGGUGGCAACAUCGUUAACAACCCCAAGUGGCAUUGAUGUGCAACAAGGGUGGUACCGCGUGUGAAUAAUAACUCGUCCCUUUU
rnacentral:ncRNA from 1 species